CGCGUAGGCGGCCGAUCAAGUCAGGCGUGAAAUUCCCGGGCUCAACCCGGGGGCUGCGCUUGAUACUGAUUGGCUUGAAUGCGGGAGAGGAUAGUGGAAUUCCCAGUGUAGAGGUGAAAUUCGUAGAUAUUGGGAAGAACACCGGUGGCGAAGGCGGCUAUCUGGCCCGUAAUUGACGCUGAGGCGCGAAAGCGUGGGGAGCAAACA
rnacentral:rRNA from 1 species